rnacentral:rRNA from 1 species
UACGAAGGGGGCUAGCGUUGCUCGGAAUGACUGGGCGUAAAGGGCGCGUAGGCGGGUGGCACAGUCAGAUGUGAAAUUCCCGGGCUUAACCUGGGGGCUGCAUUUGAUACGUGUUGUCUUGAGUUCGGAAGAGGGUCGUGGAAUUCCCAGUGUAGAGGUGAAAUUCGUAGAUAUUGGGAAGAACACCGGUGGCGAAGGCGGCGACCUGGUCCGACACUGACGCUGAGGCGCGAAAGCGUGGGGAGCGAACAGG